CAGGUCUAAACCAGGACUAAACCAGGUCUAAACCAGGACUAAACCAGGACUAAACCAGGACUAAACCUGGACUAAACCAGGUCUAAACCAGGUCUAAACCAGGUCUAAACCAGGUCUAAACCAGGUCUAAACUUGGACUAAACCAGGACUAAACCAGGUCUAAACCAGGUCUAAACCAGGUCUAAACUUGGACUAAACCAGGACUAAACCAGGUCUAAACUUGGACUAAACUUGGACUAAACCAGGACUAAACCAGGACUAAACCAAACUCAAACUCCACUCAUCCUUUUGUUACGUCGCAUUUAUGGAUCCACUCCAGACAAAACUCUUUUAAUCAACAACAUGUUUGUUUAUUCACAAAUGAAAUGG
ensembl:lncRNA